GAUGAACGCUGGCGGCGUGCUUAACACAUGCAAGUCGAACGGGAAACAUUUUAUUGAAGCUUCGGCAGAUUUAGCUUGUUUCUAGUGGCGGACGGGUGAGUAACGCGUGGGUAACCUGCCUUAUACUGGGGGAUAACAGUCAGAAAUGACUGCUAAUACCGCAUAAGCGCACAGGACCGCAUGGUUCGGUGUGAAAAACUCCGGUGGUAUAAGAUGGACCCGCGUUGGAUUAGCUAGUUGGCAGGGCAGCGGCCUACCAAGGCGACGAUCCAUAGCCGGCCUGAGAGGGUGAACGGCCACAUUGGGACUGAGACACGGCCCAGACUCCUACGGGAGGCAGCAGUGGGGAAUAUUGCACAAUGGGGGAAACCCUGAUGCAGCGACGCCGCGCGAAGGAAGAAGUAUCUCGGUAUGUAAACUUCUAUCAGCAGGGAAGAUAAUGA
rnacentral:rRNA from 1 species